GACGAACGCUGGCGGCGUGCCUAAUACAUGCAAGUCGAACGCAGUGGGGACGGGUGAGUAACCCUUUGGUAACCUCCCCUCAGCGGGGAUAACACUUGGAAACAGGUGCUAAACCGAUACUGAUGGAUGGACCCGCGGUGCAGUAGCUAGUUGGUGAGGGAACGGCUGACCAAGGCCACGAUGCAGAGGCGACUUGGCAGGUUUAUCGGGCACACUGCGACUGAGACACUGAGCAGACUCCUACUGGCGGCCGCAGUAGGGAAUCUGCGGAAAUGGCCGAAAGGCUGACCGAGCAACGCCGCGUGAGCGAAGAAGGUUUUCGGAGCGUAAAACUCUGUUGUUAGAUAAGCGGUAUCUAAACAGAAAGCCACGGCUAACUACGUGCCAGCAGCCGCGGUAAUUC
rnacentral:rRNA from 1 species